CAGUGUAUGUUCUUCUCCUGAACGUGGUUUUUUCCCAUGAGACUCAUGAAUUCCCGGGAAUCUGCUGAAAGCUCUAAACCUUUUCUCUAGAAAACUGGGGGCAUCUAUGCACAAGCAAGCACGGGCAAGUCCACAAGGGCACGCCCACACCGGCUUGCGCGUGCGCAUACACCUGAUUCGACUUAACUCGCAGGCGUCCCUGAAACUCACAAGCCAGAAGAAUGUCAAGAGUCUACACAACUCACUCUUCAGAGGGACCUCACCCUUCCCAGAGUGAUUUGCUACCAUGUAUUGAGAGAAGACUGGAUGAUGCCACAUUGCCACGUGAUCCCAUAAGAACUCAAUACUGGAAGAGAAAUUUUUUCAGCUGCAGCGAGGAAAAGAAGAGAAAAUGCAAGCAGAUGGAGGAAGAGUCCCCAGACUUCCGACAGCCAGAACCAUCUCCUCUCUGCCUGGAGGCUCUCUCACAAAGCUGCAGCCUGCUCUGCCCUCUUUUGGGGAAGGUCUGAAAUUGCAGAGACUCCAAGCCCCUUCGCCCUGACCCAGCAGCCCUCCACUGAUCAUAAAACUCUUGUAUGAGAGAUUCCCACCCUAUACCUAGAGGAAAGGAGUAUCCUUCUCUCUGAAGACAAAGGAAACCAAGAACCAGGCCUUGGAAAUCUCCACUAAAAUAAUGUAAUGGAGUGUUAACAUUUAUUAACCCACGAGGAGAGAGGAGACAUGAGCAGAGGAAAUAUUUUAACAUCUUCACAGAAGAAAAAAGUUGCCUGGAGGCAACUUGGAAAAAGAGAGAAACGUGGUUUUAACAGGGAAUUGGCUGAAAGUGUGUAUACAGAUGAUUAAACCUUGGCAAGACUCUUUCCUGUUGAAAUCAGCCGUUCCUUGCAAAAGAGAUUUACUCUUUGCAGAAAUUUGAUAGUAUUUAGAGAAUACAAGCCCAAAAGGACAAGGUGAGGCACAGGCUGAAAGGAAGAGGCUUAAGUAGAUAGGUGGCUGACUCUGGGACCCAUGGUCAUCUUCCUCAAAAUGUCACAUGUACUACUUCCACCGGUUCUGGCAGGAUUGAAGGACUUCUUUCUAGAGAAGAUAAAUGGCUCUAGAAAAAAGAUGUCCUCACAGUGACAUUUAGGAUCCACAAUUAAAAUGGCUAUUCACUGCCUUCGCUGUUCAUCCUAUAAUGAAGCUUACCCGGCAACCAGUGUGAUAAUAGGAAAGAACACGCCCUAUCCUAGCAGCCUCUGCUCAGCUUCAGCCAAUUGUUAGAGAUCAGUGAUGUCAGUUCAUCUUGAAGGUCAAGAGAAUUAGGAAAACUGGAUUUUUAUGUCAGUAUUUUCAAAUUUUAAGACACUUAGCACAUGAAAUAAAAUAUGAAUGACUGUAAGUAAAGGAUGUUUAGAACCUAUCAGCUACAGAAAAGGAUGCACUAGCUUUCCGCCAGAAUCAUAUGCUGAAGGGGAAAGUUAACACCUUGACAGAGGCAUCGAAUUCAAUCUCCAUCUGCCAGGAAAGUGCUUGCAUCCUAGUGUGAAAUAAAGUGAAGUCACUCAGUUGUGUCCGACUCUUUGCGACCCCAUGGGCUGUAGCCUACCAGGCUCCUCCAUCCAUGGGAUUUUCCAGGCAAGAGUACUGGAGUGGGUUGCCAUUUCCUUCUCCAGGGGAUCUUCCCGACCCAGGGAUCAAACCCAGAUCUCCCGCAUUGCAGGCAGACGCUUUACCGUCUGAGCCACCAGGGAAGCCAGGGCUUAGUGAACAUUGCUGAAUGAACACAUGAGGAAGCAGACCAAACUAAAACAAUCAGAGGUAUAAAAUGAUCUGAAAUUAGCAUUGUUACAUGUAUAUAACAGACACAGUAUCCUUGAAAGAGGAAGGGGCAGCAAGAGUGAAUUAAUGACUUGCAAAGUUGGGCUAAGAAUGUGGCAUAAAAGUAUAUACAGAAAUGUCACUGUUUUUCUAAGAAGAGUUACCAAAAGAAAGGGCACAUUGGAAGGGAAUAUACACUAAGAUCAAGAGAAAUGGCUGGGGGCGGGGGCAGGGGAUGGGUAAAGAGGCAGAGAAAUUGAAUGAGCACAUGUGCAUGAGAAAGAUUUAUUUCACAAAAUGGAAAUGAUACUAUAUUAAAGAAAUGAGCUGAAAAAAAAGAACAGAUCUAUAAGUGAAAUUUCAGAACAUCAAGGAUGAAGAAAAUCUGGUAGGGCAGCAAAUUAACUAGAAAGGAAAGAAAAUCAGACUUGCGUUGGUACAUUGGAUGGUGGUGAGCAAAUCAAGAAUUCUCUCUAGAGCUAAAUUGCAUCAUUCAAGAGUCAGAACAAACUUUUGGUAAUUCAAGGGUUUGGAUUAUCACCCACUUUAUUAGAAAAGAUUAUCAUCGUCUAUAUUCUAAGAAAAUGAAUCCAAAAGAAAGACUGGGGAUCCAAAUUUAAAACAUUUUAAAUUUAGAUGGUGAAAAAAAAAAAAAAACGAACUAAAAUCUCACAUGAUGUAACACAGGACAAUGUGAGGGAGGCUCUAUCUUGAAGAAGAGAAGACUAAGUUUCUUAUCCUAUUAAAUGGGAGACUAUAGAGGAAAAUGAUAGAAGACUUGUAACACUUAUAGCAACCUAAUUUAAUAGAUAUUUUUUCAAAAGUCACUGUGACAGACAAAAAAUAGUCUUUUUAAAAGUGUACAGAAUAAUCAUAAAAGUUGACCUUUUGUUAGGUCAUAAAAUAACAGUGAACUAAGAAUGGAGAAGAAAAUUGCAACCCACUACAGUAUUCUUGCCUGGAGAAUCCCACGGACAGAGGAGCCUGGCAGGCUAGAGUCCAUGGGGUCGCAAGAGUCGGACACGACUUAGCGACUAAACCAUCCAUCCAUCCAAUUACCAAGAAAAAUAACCACACAAGUUACAUUUACUAACCAGAAUAAAAUGAAACUCAAAACAGAAGUGUAUCUGACAUUUUCUAAACUCUCAACACUUUAAACACCUUUCUAAAACGGGCUUGAAGAAGAGCUCAAAUGGAAAUUUUCAGUUAAUUAGCUAUGAUGACAGUGGAAGUAAUACUACCAGACACCAAGAGCAAGUCCUUUCUCUGAGUCAGGGGAGAUAAAGGUUCUCAAAUAGAAAGGCUUCUAGAUGAGAAACUGCAGUUUCAAACUGGACUGGAACAAACUAGAGAGACUAGAAAGUUUAAGAAUCGGCUUAAAUUACAUUUAAGGGACAGGACAAGGAGAGCCCGCAGAGGAGGCGAGGGGGGAAAGGUGGGGGAGGAAGAGAGGCAAGGAAGAAUAGGAGGAGGAACACACAAAGCCACUCAUAUUGGUACCCACUGAGUUCAGCCAACUGUGAGUGCCUUCUGUAUGUAAUUUAAAAAGUAAGGAACGAAUCCAGUUUUAAAAUUUUACUGGAUAAGCCAUUUAAAAUGCAGCUACUGUUCUUCUUCACAUGUUCUGUGUUUGGCUGUUCCAGGCCCCUGUUCCACCCUGGUUUCUCCUAAGUUUUUGAGAGGGCUCUUCCAUUAAUAAUUGAUUUUGCAUUUUUCCCAUUUAUAAAGAAGUCUAACGGGAAUAACAUCAAAACUGUGGCUGUGUUGCCCAACCUUUCCCCAGCUUUUAAUUCUUGAUAAGAAUUGUCAGUUCUUGAGACCAAGCCUUUUGAGCUCAAAACAGAUUGCGAACUUAAUAUGACCAAAUGCUGGAGACAAUGUGGAGAGCAGAGAACCCUUCUGCACUGUUGGUGGGAAUGUAAAUUGGUUCAGCCACGAUGGAGAACAGUAUGGAGGUUCCUUAAAAAAGUAAAAAUAGAGCUACCAUAUAACCCUGCAAUCCCACUCCUGGGCAUAUAUCCAGAGAAAAACAUGGCCUGAAAAUAUACAUGCACCGCAAUGUUCAUUGCAACACUGUCUACAAUAGCAAGACGUGGAAGCAACCUAGACGUCUAUCAACAGAGGAACGGAUAAAGAAGAGGUGGUACAUAUAUACAAUGGAAUAUUACCCAGCUAUUUAAAAAAAAAGAAAUAAUGCCAUUUGCAGCUACAUGGAUGAUCUAGAGAGUAUCACACUGAGUGACGUAAGUCAGACAGAGAAGGAGAAAUAGCAUAUGACAUCCCUUCUAUGUGGAAUCAAAAAAGAAACAAUACAAAUGAUCUUUCUUGCAGAGACAGAAAGAGACUCAACCGACUUUGAAAACAAACUUACAGUUGCCAGGAAGGGAGGGGAUAGUUAAAGAAUUUGGAAAGGUCAUAUACAUACUGCUAUAUUUAAAACUGAUAACUAACAAAGACCUUUUGUAUAGGAUGUGGAAGUCUGCUCAAUGUUAUAUGCCAGGCUGGAUGGGAGUGGUGUUUGGUGGAGAAUUGAUACAGGUGUAUGUAUGACUGAGUUCCUUCACUGCUCACCUGAAACUACCACAACAUUGUUAAGCAGCUAUACCCCGAUACAAAAUGUUUUUGGUAUCCAAAAAAACAUUUAAAAAAUACAUUUAUUUUUAAAAAUAUUUAUUUAUGUAUGUAUGUAUUUAAUUGACUGUGCUGGAUUUUAGUUACGUCAUUCAAGCUCUUAGUUGAGGUACGUGGGAUCUCGUUCCCUGACCAGGAAUCAAACCUGGGCCCCCUGCAUUGGUGGCUUGGAGUAUUAGCCACUGGGCCACGAGGGAAAUCCCUUAUUUAAAAAAAAAAAAAGUUAAUAUGACCAUGAGCUUCAAAGCCACUAUCAACAGGCCCCUUAUCAGAUUAUAUAAUUUCCAUAAGCUAAAAUAGGGGAAUAGAGUGGUCCUGACCUCUUGUCUUUUUACCUUGUACUUUAAUGAUUUGAUACCUCUUUGGAAUUAACUGAAUUCAUCUGCUGAAUUUUCAAUAACCACAUAGAGUAAACAUAUUCAUUCUAUUAUCCAGGAGAAUGUUUGCAACCAGUUUGUCUUAGUAUAUUUACAAAGAAUCUCAUUCUCCAGUCCUUUGACUCGUAUUAAUCUAUAUAAUAUACCAAUUCCUGAACUUUCCAGUCUUUCUAGUUCAUUCCAGUCCAAAGUCCAAUUUGAAAUUUCAAUCUCUCACCCAGUUUGCAAUGUUUAAAGGGAGCUAUUCCAGGACUGACUUACUGGAAUUUUUUUUUCUCAACAAUCUCAAGAGAUGUUUGCUAACGUAUACUUUAAAUUAUUUUAAGAUUAAAUUAUCACUGUGCAAAACUCUGGGGUCUUGAUUGCCUAUUUAUAGAUCCAGGAUGGUUUUCUGAAGGAGACAAUAAAAAAACAAAACAAAAAAUGUCUCGGUUCACGGGUACUGCCUCAGCACCCUGGUUUGGAUUGCCACAGGCGAUCUUCAGCCUAAGGGACAGAUUCUAAUUAGCAAAUCUCAACUUUCUUAAGGGGAUGCCCAUUAUACUCUCAGCUCAUCCAACUCUAUCAAGUCUAUGGGCCUGGCUCACAAUCAGAAACAGAGGAUGUGUACACUGAAAAUACUUGUUGAGAGUAACACCUAUUUCUCCUAUUUUGUACUCACUGACAGCAAAUACUUUAAUUUCCCUCUCUGGUUCAGUUAAAGCCAAAUUUGUGACAGAUUCUAACAAAUGCAUGGACCCCCCAUAGUAUACAUUUUUCUUUGUUUAUUUUUUUCUUUGCUGUGAUUUCAU